GUAUAUGUGCUAUGAGUAGAAGACAAACAACCAGUUCAGUCGUUGCAUGUAUUUAAGUAUGUAAGUAAUGUUUAUA